CUUGAACGCUGGCGGCAGGCCUAACACAUGCAAGUCGAACGAGUGGCGGUCGGGUGAGUACUGACUGGGAAACUUCCUGUUGGAGGGGGAUACCUACGGGAAACGGUAGCUAUUACCGCAUACCAUCAACUUUGCCCAGAUGGGUUUAGCUUGUUGGUGUGGUACCGGCUCACCACGGCGACGAACCCUAGCUGGUCUGAGAGGAUGACCAGCCACACUGGAGCUGAUACACGGUCCAGACUCCUACGGGAGGCAGCAGUGGGGAAUAUGGCACAAUGGGCGAAAGCCUGAUGCAGCCAUGCCGCGUGUAGGAAGAAGGCCUUGGGGUUGUAAAGUACGUUCAGCGGGGAGGCGUUACCCGAAGAAGAAGCACCGGCUAACUCCGUGCCAGCCGCCGCGGUAAUAC
rnacentral:rRNA from 1 species